rnacentral:rRNA from 1 species
AGCUCCAAUAGCGUAUAUUAAAGUUGUUGCAGUUAGAACGCUCGUAGUCGGAUUUCGGGGCGGGGCGACCGGUCUGCCGAUGGGUACGCACUGGUCGGCGCGUCCUUCCUUCCGGAGACCGUGCCUACUCUUAACUGAGCGGGGGCGGGAGACGGAACGUUUACUUUGAAAAAAUCAGAGUGUUUCAAGCAGGCAGCUCGCUCUUGCAUGGAUUAGCAUGGGAUAAUGAAAUAGGACUUUGGUGCUAUUUUGUUGGUUUCGAACACCGAAGUAAUGAUGAGAAGGGACAGUCAGGGGCAUUUGUAUUCGACCGAGAGAGGUGAAAUUCUCAGACCAGUCGAAGACAAACUACUGCGAAAGCAUCUGCCAGGGAUGUUUUCA